UUAAAGAUAUAGACGUUGAUACCUUUGUGAUAAAUCAAAAGGAAGUUUCAUAUCCAUCAUCGCCACCUCCAUUUCCUCCACCACAUCCAUCAUCAUCACCUCCAUUGCCACCAUCUCCGCCUCCUAAGCUUGUGAGGAGAAAGGUGAAGAGAACAUAUCAAGAUCUUGGAUAUGAAAAAAGAACCGAUCAUGAGGAGAAAGUCCUUGAAAACUUCUACAAUAUCCCGCCACCAUCUCCGCCGCCUCCUCCUCCUCCACCACCACCACCACCACCACCUAUAUUCAGCAAGAACGAGAAAAGGAGAGGCAAAGAUUUCUUGAUUUCACUAAGAAGAAAGAAAAAGAAGCAGAGACAAAAGAGCGU
rnacentral:lncRNA from 1 species